rnacentral:rRNA from 1 species
AUUGAACGCUGGCGGCAUGCUUUACACAUGCAAGUCGAACGGUAACAGGCCGCAAGGUGCUGACGAGUGGCGAACGGGUGAGUAAUGCAUCGGAACGUGCCCAGUCGUGGGGGAUAACUACUCGAAAGAGUAGCUAAUACCGCAUACGAUCUAUGGAUGAAAGCGGGGGACCGUAAGGCCUCGCGCGAUUGGAGCGGCCGAUGUCAGAUUAGGUAGUUGGUGGGGUAAAGGCUCACCAAGCCAACGAUCUGUAGCUGGUCUGAGAGGACGACCAGCCACACUGGGACUGAGACACGGCCCAGACUCCUACGGGAGGCAGCAGUGGGGAAGUUUGGACAAUGGGCGCAAGCCUGAUCCAGCAAUGCCGCGUGCAGGAAGAAGGCCUUCGGGUUGUAAACUGCUUUUGUACGGAACGAAACGGCUCUGGUUAAUACCCGGGGCUAAUGACGGUACCGUAAGAAUAAGCACCGGCUAACUACGU